GCUGGGCAUGGUAGCGUGCACCUGUAACCCCAGAUGCUUGGGAGACUGAGGCAGGAGGGUAGCAAGUUCGAGGUCAAACUGGGCAACUUAGCUAGACCCUGUCUCAA
rnacentral:sRNA from 1 species